CAGAGGCUGGUUGCAAGUGAGUGCUCAGUAAGAAUGCUGAGUGAGUGAUGGCUUGUUCAGGAUCGUACUGCUGCUGAUCACCAGGUUGUGCAGAAUGUCUUUAAAUUGGAUUUGGGAAGAACCAAGGAGGUACAUCCUCAUGUUGAAAUCAUGUUAAAGAAGAGAUUAGAAACUGUGUACAUAUAUAAAAGGAGAAGAGGAGCUCAGCUGAACUGGAGUCCUGAGCUGCCAGGUGCAGGAGUACUGAUUAAAGCAUCACGGAGCCCAAGUGCAAGUACUAGUGAAGCCUUAAUGAUGGCGUCAGCCAGAGGCUAAGCCAGAGAAGGUGCCGCUCCCCCUGCUGCUCAUUCCCCAUGGGAUGGCGUCCUGGUGGUUGAGCAGCGACGUGGGGAUUGUCUGGUUGGCGAGGAGCGCUGAACAAAAGGAAACUAGAGUACAAAAUAUAAAGGAAAUGGACCAGCACACACCAAAUCCAAGCAAAGAUUCUCAGCAGCUGCCUCUAGCCAUGCAGGUGGAAUCCCCAAUUCUGAUGUUCUAUCAUUGGCGAAAGAGAAAGUGCCCAAGAUUCAAGAGACAUGAAUUGUUUGUUCUUACAAGGUCCUAGGAGGACAGACGUUCCUAGGAAGGAAUUCCCUAUGCUCUUCCUGUGGUUUGGCGUGGCCUGCCUUCCUGACUCAUCCUCGGGAGUAGCCCUUCAUGCAUGGCUCUGCCGGGGAGCAGCGAGGGAGAGUGGGCGUCAGCAUAAACUGGAAGAGGAAGCAGCGGGAGGAUUCGGAAAGGACGGUUUCUCUCAACAGCACAUGAUCAUGUUGUGCAAAGAAGCUAAUGAGCAGGACUUUGAUUGAAUAUUGUCACACAUACCUUAAGUCUGGGCAAAGGAUUUGAGGAGGAUGAAACUUCAGACAUACAGCAGGUCUUAUGGUUUUGGCUUCACACUGCUUCUUCUGACGCCCUGAGGCUGCUGCUGCUGCUCAGGGAAGCAGCUCUGGACAAGAAGGUGCCAACCUCUCUCAGGCUGCUCCCUCUCAUUUGC